GACGAACGCUGGCGGCGUGCUUAACACAUGCAAGUCGAACGGAAAGGCCCUGCUGUUGUGGGGUGCUCGAGUGGCGAACGGGUGAGUAACAAGUGAGUAACCUGCCCUUGACUUUGGGAUAACUUCAGGAAACUGGGGCUAAUACCGGAUAGGAGCUCCUGCUGCAUGGUGGGGGUUGGAAAGUUUCGGCGGUUGGGGAUGGACUCGCGGCUUAUCAGCUUGUGGGUGGGGUAGUGGCUUACCAAGGCUUUGACGGGUAGCCGGCCUGAGAGGGUGACCGGCCACAUUGGGACUGAGAUACGGCCCAGACUCCUACGGGAGGCAGCAGUGGGGAAUAUUGCACAAUGGGCGGAAGCCUGAUGCAGCAACGCCGCGUGCGGGAUGACGGCCUUCGGGUUGUAAACCGCUUUCGCCUGUGACGAAGCGUGAGUGACGGUAAUGGGUAAAGAAGCACCGGCUAACUACGUG
rnacentral:rRNA from 1 species